rfam:Streptomyces sp. e14 genomic scaffold supercont1.1, whole genome shotgun sequence.
UCGCGUCACGCGCCGUAGGCAGGAGCGGGGGACCCAGGUAAGUCGCCGCGCCGGUCGGUAGACCGGAGCGGCUGGGGGUGAAGCCGUGCCUCAUCGAGGGCACGGCCGGGCAACUCAACCGGCCCGAACCCGACAGCUCACCUCGCAGGCGUCGGUGAGGGGAUCC